UGUUUUCUUUCUUUGUGUUGUCUUUGGCUUUGGUAUUAGAGCAAUUGCGAUAUUGUGAUUAAUAAGAAACAUAUAUAUUUGAUCUUUCCCUCCAUUUCUGGCACAGAGCUCCUAAAACCUUGGAAUUUCCUGAGUGAUAAGAGCAAUAAAGGUGUCUUGAUAUUCCCAACAAGCCCCUUUCCACUACACCUGAGUUUAUGCUAAUGAGGUGACUUUUUUAAAGCACAUAAGGAUAGGGGCUGGUUGCCAGGGGAACCAACCAUGUGAUUACAGGGUUGGAAUGUCAAUCCCACCCUGAAGCUCCAGGAAGAGGGGAGGGGCUGGAGGUUCAGUGUCUCAUGAUCUAAUCAAUCAUGCCAUUAUAGGAAGCCUCCAUAAAAACCCAAAAGGACAGCAUUCAGAAAGCUUCUGCGGUGGUGAACAUGUGGAGAUUCGGGGAGAACGGUGCAUGGAAGCUCCACGCCCUUUCUCCAUACCUUGCCCCAUGCAUCUAGUUCAUCUGACUGUUCCUGAGUUAUACCAUUUUACUAAGAAACCAGUGGUCCAAGCUGUCCUGCUGCUGCGCUCAGAGCACCAUACUUGGAAAACACAACUCUCAGAAUGUGGCACGCCAUGGCUCGUCUCCUGCCUAACUCCCACCAUCAUCAUCUUCUGCCUAGCUGUUUUCUGGAAGUUCUAACUCCAAGAGAUAAGAUCAGUUUUGUACUAGAAAUCCGGGAAGAAGGAAACAGCAGUAAGAGGGAGCCGAAGGGCAAAACCGAUGAAGACAUCUUCAGGUAUCACCUACCAACUCAGUUAGUUCAGCUCUCCUGUCUCAGAGGCACUGCAGCCCGGGGGCUGAGGGAAUUGCAGACGAAAUUGCUGAGCAGCUGCCAAUACCCACAAAGCCAGACCGAGUUAUCAAGUAAACAAACAAAAACCAGGUAAUUCUUGUUCCAGGUUUCAAAGAAGGAGAAAACAUGUAAGCUGGUGAGUCUGAGACCAACUCCAGG
rnacentral:lncRNA from 1 species